GAGAGUGUAAUUCAAUGGUAGAAGCUUUGAUUCCAAAUCAAUAAGUAAAAGUUCAAGUCUUUUCACUCUUG
rfam:Pneumocystis murina mitochondrion, complete genome.